rnacentral:rRNA from 1 species
GACGAACGCUGGCGGCGUGCCUAACACAUGCAAGUUGAGCGCUGAAGGUUGGUACUUGUACCAACUGGAUGAGCAGCGAACGGGUGAGUAACGCGUGGGGAAUCUGCCUUUGAGCGGGGGACAACAUUUGGAAACGAAUGCUAAUACCGCAUAAAAACUUUAAACACAAGUUUUAAGUUUGAAAGAUGCAAUUGCAUCACUCAAAGAUGAUCCCGCGUUGUAUUAGCUAGUUGGUGAGGUAAAGGCUCACCAAGGCGAUGAUACAUAGCCGACCUGAGAGGGGGAUCGGCCACAUUGGGACUGAGACACGGCCCAAACUCCUACGGGAGGCAGCAGUAGGGAAUCUUCGGCAAUGGACGAAAGUCUGACCGAGCAACGCCGCGUGAGUGAAGAAGGGUUUCGGAUCGUAAAACUCUGUUGGUAGAGAAGAACGUUGGUGAGAGUGGAAAGCUCAUCAAGUGACGGUAACUACCCAGAAAGGGACGGCUAACUACGUG